AAUUUAGCUAUUUUGAUCGACAAUUUAAUAACACGAUAUUUACAGUAUCGAAUACGUUGCCGCUGCCGUUUGCGUGCUUCAGAUCUCAGCAGACGACAACAGACAACAAUAUUAAAUGUGUAUGAAGGAGAAACAUAGACAGUGGAAUCACCCAUCAAUAGGGCUAUGAAGACAUAAUUUUGUUAUUCAAAAGAUCCAAUUUGAGGUAAAGUUGUCAGAGAUGGAAAUUACAGGUGGGAAGAAUAAAGAAAAUCAGUUGGCAGAGAACGGU